UACGGGGGGGGCGAGCGUUGUUCGGAAUCAUUGGGCGUAAAGGGUGCGUAGGUGGUGCUGUAAGUCUGACGUGAAAUCUCUGGGCUUAACCCAGAAUCCGCGCCAGGAACUGCAGUGCUGGAGUGUGGGAGAGGAGAAUGGAAUUCCUGGUGUAGCGGUGAAAUGCGCAGAUAUCAGGAAGAACACCCGUGGCUAAGGCGGUUCUCUAGUACGGUACUGACGCUGAGACGCGAAAGCGUGGGGAGCGAACAGG
rnacentral:rRNA from 1 species